rnacentral:rRNA from 1 species
CCUACGGGUGGCAGCAGUGAGGAAUAUUGGUCAAUGGCCGAGAGGCUGAACCAGCCAAGUCGCGUGAGGGAAGACGGCCCUACGGGUUGUAAACCUCUUUUGUCGGGGAGCAAAGAGAGUCACGUGUGACUCAUUGAGAGUACCCGAAGAAAAAGCAUCGGCUAACUCCGUGCCAGCAGCCGCGGUAAUACGGAGGAUGCGAGCGUUAUCCGGAUUUAUUGGGUUUAAAGGGUGCGCAGGCGGAGGUGCAAGUCAGCGGUCAAAUUGCGGGGCUCAACCCCGUACUGCCGUUGAAACUGUAGUUCUUGAGUACUGGAGAGGCAGACGGAAUUCCUAGUGUAGCGGUGAAAUGCGUAGAUAUUAGGAGGAACACCAGUGGCGAAGGCGGUCUGCUGGACAGCAACUGACGCUGAGGCGCGAAAGCGUGGGGAGCAAACAGGAUUAGAUACCCCUGUAGUC